GUAUGGGAAAAUGUAGGAGAAAACGGUUUUAGUGACGUGGCAACAAAGACUGGAAGUCUGGAACGCCCACAACAGAACUGCAGAAUCUCGCAAAGUCGACUGCACUCCUCCACCAACCCUGUAAUAUUAUCUACUAAAAUUCAUAACAUCAGCGUCACGAUAAUUUCGGAGAACUCCUAAAAUAAGGGAAAAGGAGAGGUUAGGUAAAAGCUGAGGAACUUAUAAUAAUUAGCUAUUUUCAUGGUUUUAAACGAAACAGAAGAGUUCAGAAAACCUUCAACAGGCCUUCAGACUGCACUCUUCUACAAAACACUGUGGGUACUAAUCUUACUAUAUACAUUGAAAUAUGUAACAUCAGGAUCUGGGAUACUGGUUAAACUUCUAAAAUAAAGGUAGUACUUCAUAAACAGUGCUUACAGUUCACGUUAUAGAGCAAAGGAGACUUACUUGAUUACAAACCAAGAACAGCAUGUACUUCAAGGUGGAAUGUCGACAACAGACAUACAAGAAGAAAAAGGCAACGUUAGGUGUUUCUAAAGGAGAGAGAAGAUAAAAAGGAGUACCAUUGAACACUUGAGAGAGUAACAGAACACUGAGCAAGGAAAAUAAGCCGUUUUUGAAAGUGAGAUCUAUAUUAACAUAAGCUAUAUCUGACUGGGAGAGAAGUCUACAGGGGAUGUUACGGAAGAAAGAGAAUAGGUGAAGAAACACAACUAGCUUCUGAAGGGAACAGAAGUCUACAAAAGUUGCUGUUCCUGUAGAAGAGAUAGUCGAAGAAGAAACUAAUAGUGGGCGGAGGGACUGAAGUCUACAAAACGCUGCUCUUCAUGAAGAGAAUAGGCUAAGAAACACAACUAGUUUGUGAAGAGGAGAAGUCAACAUAAGACGGUGUUCCUGUAUUAGAGACGUCAAAGAGGACAAGUCUACAUAAGAUGGUGUUCUUGUAUUAGAGAAGUCAAAGAAGAGAUAAUUAGUAGUUCUUGAUGGAUAUAGUUAUAUAAAUGCCGCUGUGCCAGAAGAGAAUAGUCGAAGAAGAAAUACACAAAUAGUUCCUGCAGUGGACAGGGAUCAAAUACAUAAGCUACUAAUCCUGAACAGAAUAGUUGAAGAACAUCUAGUUCCUGUAGAAAAGAUCUAGAUCUCGAAAGGGAUGGAAUACUAUAAAUGCUACCAUUCCUGGAGAAUACAAGUAUCCCUCCUCCUGUUUCACUGCUUGCUUAAUUAUUUUGUACCGCUUGGUCUUGUGUACGAUAUUAUUCUUCCUGGCUGCUAUCUCUAGGAACUCUCCAUAUAUACUCGGUGACUUAAUAUCUCUAGGAACUGUCCAUUUAUACUCGGUGACUUAGAAUCUUUGAUUUAACCCAGGGUGAUUACAGAAUAAAUUAUUUCUGCUUCAUUUUAGUAUAUAUAUAUAUACUCUGACUUAACUUCUAUUAUAAACCCAGGAUGCCAUAUAUACUCGGUGACUUGGAAUCUUCUAUUUAACCUAGGGUGUUUCCAGAACGAAUGAUUUCUGCUCCAUUUUCAGGAGCAUUACCUAACAGAGCUUGCAUUAUGUAAGCCCAAGAUGAGAAUCUCUGCUGCUUCAGGUCUCCUUUCUACCUACCUCGUCCAACAUGCCUCACCCUACUCC